UGAUUCUCCUGCCUCAGCCUCCUGAGUAGCUGGCAUUACAGUGAAAGAGGACAAUCGAACUUGGUUUCAACUCAAGGGUUAAAGAAAGGGUGAAAAAAAUGAAUAGAAGAAAGUCUUCAUUCUGGAAAGAGACCCAUUUUGAAGUUCAGCUGGAACAGACUAUUUUAUAAUUUUGUAUAAAAAAUUAUAUCUUCAUAAUCAACUUGAUUAUUUGAUUUAUAAUGUAAAAAGCAUAAUGUUUCUUAUGGUCUAUAAAUAACCACUUUUUUCAAGCAUGACAGAUUAAGUGAAAACAAAGAGAGUGAACAAAAAUGGGACGGUGUCAUGAAUCUGUAUCUGCCCUGAGGAAGAGGGCAGUACUUUUGGGGAGCGCAAUUUACAUGAGCAUCUGGGUCUUUUGUCAUGUUUUGGAUGGAUGACCUGAGUCUGAUAUAUUGGUGAAUAGCAUUAACAAAGGUCUGGUUGUCAAAGGCUAGGAAGAAAAAUGCAAUUAGCCACAGCAAUGAGGUUAUGUCUAUGUUUGGGGAUAAAGAACCAAUACCUAAAUGGCAAUGGAAAACACUGGAAUGAUACCAUUAGCAAAAGGCCAGAUUUGUGUGUGUGUGUGUGCGUGUGUGUGUAUACCUAUUAUACAGUCAUCUUCACUCAGCAGGUUAUACAAAAAAGUCAUUUCUUUGGCAAUGUUUGACUCAUGUAAUAAGAACAAAUAUGUACCUGUUACUAAAGAAAAUGACCUGGUGAGCUUGAUGAAUUUAUAACUCAUAACACACUAAUUUCAUCAACCUAACAUGUGUAAUUCUGUUUGUUUCUAUUUAAAGAAAAUUAGAAUUAAAUAAAGGGCAUUUGGAGGCCGAAAGAAGUUUGCUCUUUUUUCAGUCUCAUUUUUUUCUGUAAACCUUGCGAUCCAGCAUAGAGAACCAUAUCUAAUCUGCCAAUUAGGUCAGGCCCCAGGAUAAUCAAUCUCCUUAACAGCAGAUGCCUUGUUUUAGCAAAUGAAUGCUUGGUUUCAAAAGAAGUUUUGUGUUGAGAGAACACUGCAGUUGGCAUGGGUGAUUAGAACUCUUUUAAAUCCUAUAAAAAGCUUCUAUAGAUUGUUUUAUGCCCACAUUUUGUGAACUGAAGUAAAUGCUGUAUAUAUUUAUCUUCAAAUGAACAUGGUGGGGACUUUAUACAGCCUGUAAGGACAUCUAUAUGCAUACACAUGCAAUUAUUUGCAGUCUAAAAUGUUUAUGUUCAUUUGAAUUAAACUGUGUUUUUGAUAAAAUUUAAAAUGCAUUUAUAUAUAUUUUGAGUAGGUGCUUUUAUAUUUAUUAAGUAUGCUCCUUAAUAACAAUAACUUAAUUAUUAGAAUAGCAUUGUUUGAACUGAAAAUAUAAUGACAAGUUAAUAUGAUUUUCGUGUUUGUUGUUUGGACCACUUUUACAUUAGUUUUUAAGUGCCCUUCUUUCUAUCUGAUGCCUGCUCAGUUCAUACUUGUAAUUUGUGUUAAUGGGCAAUGUGUGUGAGAUAACUUUGAAACCAGGAAAAAAAAAUUUUAAAUUAAAUUUUAUAAACAAUAUAUAUUA